rnacentral:rRNA from 1 species
UACGGAGGGUGCAAGCGUUGCUCGGAAUUAUUGGGCGUAAAGGGUAGGUAGGUGGUCUCAUUUGUCUGGGGUGAAAGCCUUGAGCUUAACUCAAGAAGUGCCCCAGAAACGGUGAGACUGGAGUCCUGGAGAGGGUCAUGGAAUUCCCGGUGUAGCGGUGAAAUGCGUAGAGAUCGGGAGGAACACCAGAGGCGAAAGCGGCGACCUGGACAGGUACUGACACUCAACUACGAAAGCGUGGGGAGCAAACAGG